AGACCCCCAAAAGAGGCUGCAGAUUCUUAGUGGACAGCUCUCAUAUCCCCUCCAGGGAAAAUGAUGAAAAAUGUCUUCAGAAAAAUAGCUUUAUGAAGGCAAGAGGACUUUUUGCACCUGCAAGACAUGUCUGAAAGCUCCUCAGGUCAAAACACAAGUAGUCAAGAGAUUUGUCCAUCUAAUUCAUCAUACUACUCUGAUCCAAGUGAGACCCACACUGGGUCAGCUCCAUCAAGGAGAAGAACAUUCCACCCACGUUUGGAUUCUGGAAUAUCAUCCUUGCUUCCAUCAGAUUCUUGUAAGUACCUCACUUGGCACAAGGUAGACAUGACGUUCAAGGAAGUCAACUGCGUUGCCCAAGAGUAAGAGAAGGUAAAAGAAUAAAUGUGUGCCUUUUUCGUGUACAUCCUCUGAAUAGAAUUUUUUGUGGAUUAAAAGACAUUACUUGAAGAAAAAAAAAAGACACCAUUUGGAGGAAUCUCUGAAGAAGAGCAACUUUUCAGACAGGUAGAGUGUGCCUUGCUCCCAAGGAAAAGAGUUCUUGAAAAAAACAAAUGGGAAACAUGGCUACAAGAAAACUGGGAAGACUGCAAGAAUUUGAACAUUUCAUUUCAGGGUUUGGGGGAUCCUUACCAAGUUGAAAAUUUUAACAGAAUUCUUAGAAGACUAAUUCGAGUUGAAACCCUCUGGUUAGUGGAUAAUUCACUGGUGGACUUAAGUGCCAUAAGAUUGCCAAGAGUAUUCUCCUGUUUGCCAAACUUAAAAAUGCUGGAUGGAAUCUUGAAGCUACCAGAAGAUUGCUUAUCACCAGAAACCAAUAUUUUUUCAAAAAUAUGCCUUGUAUCCUAAUGCAGUCUGUAUAGAAAGAAAGCAAUCAUCAUUGUUGCUAAAAGCUAAUAAACACAGGACAUGCAUGAUUAAAUAUUGCAGUUUAUUUUAUAUCUUUUUGCUUUUCUAAAUCAAGGCAAAAACAUGCUAACUGACAAGAAAAUCAUGGGUUUUAUACAAGGAUAACAAGUGCUGGGUUGCUUAGCUAUGAGGAAGGCUAGGCUCACUGCAUACCAGAAGAUGUACAGCGUUGGAGAAUUCAGGGAUUUUUAUCAACAAUCAAACUAUAUUUGUGGAAAUUUUGUGCAUAAGUGCCAAAGAUGGCUGACAUCGGACCACAUUCUAUUUAACUCAACUGAAUGACACCAAGCUCUCAUCCUAAAACUUAUAGUUACAUCCACCCUUCUGAAAUAUUUAAUUAUUCUCCAAUACACUGGAGGUAAUAGGUAUAAAAAGAAUGAGCAUGUGCAACUUAGUAUCUCAUAUCUAAUUUUGUGUCCCAAGUUCAUUCUUCCCCUGAAUGUCCCAUGUCUACCAGGUGCAGGAUUAUCUGGAUGGGUCAGUUCAAAACAAUUUCAGGGAAUAAAUUGUGUAGGGGACUCAAUUUUCUGAGACAGAAACAUAAUGUGAAUAACUCCUUUGUUAGAAAAUAAUUUCAGUGACAGAAAGCCUUUCAGUUCAUAAAGAAAACUUACAUAUCAACAAGCCUAGCUCCUCACUAGUCCCAGUGAAUGCUUACAUCAAUCAGCUCUACAAUAUCCAGUAAAGGACUUUCCAAUUCGCCUUUGAAUAAACUGAGGUAUUGGAAACAUCUAAGAAAAUGGUUUUUAAUUCUUCCUAAUCUUCAGGGAGUUCUUCCUUAUAUUGAGCUGAUAUCUGCCCUCUGUAACUUUCAACUAAUUAUUCAAAUCUCUCAAGUGAUUAUAAUUAAUUCCAUCUUAUAAGGAAUUUUUCUCAGCUUCCAGCCUCUUGAAAAUACUCUGAUAUUUUCUCUAAUAUUCAAGUGGAAAUGUAAAUGGGUAACGUAAGAGUCUGUGGGGUUAGGAGGGUGGAGGAAAGGUAAGGGAAAGCUAAUGAGAAAUAACCAAAGCAAGAAAAAGAAUUUUAUUUUCUUCAAGUUCUUUGUACAUCCAAAGUGGAAGAUUCCUAAAAUAAAUUCCCCAUACCACAUUUUAAAAAUUAGGUUAGCAAGCUUACUUUUUAAUUUAUUUAGAAGCCAACUACUUCCAUUUAUUAUUUCUUUCCAGAAUAGAACAAUUAUCACUAAUUGUUUGUCAUUAUAAUGCCAAACUAUGUUAAUAGAUGCCUAUUUUUUUAAAGGCUAAUUGCAAUCAUGAAACCAAAUAUCUAAUUAGUUUUAGAGCUUUGGACCACAUGCAUCAAUAUUUGAAUCAUUCAGGUGUAUAUUUGCUUUCUGCUUUUUUGUCUCUUCAAAAGAAGUAUUAUAUGCAUUCUGUUUAUAAUUUCUAAAUGGUCAUUUCAAAACUGAUUAUACGAGUUUAUACAAAUCAUACUGAAAUUUGUUGCUUAAAAAAUCUUCAUUUUUCUCUAAGCUCUCAGUGUCCUUGAGCUAUAUAUAUUUUAUGGCAAUUUUUACUUAAUAGUUUGUAUGCUAGUUAUUUUUGACAAUGACUACUAAAAUGCAAGUUUCUUCAAGGGCAGAUUCACCUUAGUUCUUCUUUAUACCCCUCAAAAACCUCAGGGUUAUUCUCAAUAAGUAUUGAGUAGGUGAGUGAACUUUGGAUGUAUACUCCUUGAAAUUAUAUUUCUGGAGCUGGAAAACUUUAAAAAAAUGUAUGUCAUGAGUCUAAAGAAAUAAACAUUAUAUGGCUGAAAAAAUACUUUGUG
rnacentral:lncRNA from 1 species